AGGCAUGCACCAUCAUCUGAACCACUUGCAUUGCGGAGUAUAGAAUCGGCUCGAAUAGAUGAUGUGUGUGCGCAACCGAAACUAAACGGUGAAGAAAAACCAAUCAAAUCUCGAAGACUCUUGUUGUCAAGCGUGCUGCAGGUCUAAAAGCUAUAAUCGGAUUGUUCGAUCACAUUCUGUUUCGUGGUUUUGUUUGUUGAUCGAUUGAACGCAGUGAAAGUACAAUGUCGUAUGCAUCAGUAAUAUCAAUAGGGGUGAUGGUGGUUGCUGCUGCCGUUGCGGUUAUUCAGGGCAUUAAAACAAUGCAACGUAAUCGCCCCCAUGGAACCACAUACACUUAUUAUCCGGAUCUAUGUUACAUCUGCCAUACUCGCGUGCCUCAUGAAAGAGGACAAACUCUCCCAACCUGUGGCCAUACUGUCCAUACGGCGUGUAUUAAUGCGUUUGCGGACAGACGUUGUCAAUGCCAUAACAACUAAUGGUCAAAUGACUAAUGACCCGGAUUAAUCGCGACGAGACGGUUCCGGAAAAAGUAGGCUCUGCAGGAUCCAGAAAACCAGAUGGAAGUGAGACAUUUGUGAUAUUUUCUUGUAGAUAAUUCACGCUAAGGUAUUAUCCGGGCUAAGAUCGCACGUUUAGGAAGAGUUUACUCUUCCUCGUUUUGCCUGGACUGGACAUCGUUUAAAUCAAUGCGUGCUCAACUGACUGACCCGAUACGCUGGCCUAUUUUUAUUAGCGUUCAUUUGUGAGGUGGGAAAUAAGACAUACUUCGUAUUUAAACCAAACCGAAACUAGAAACAUCUUGAACGUAUGUGACUCUGGAACUGUUGUAAAAUUUUUCUUGAUAUUGAAUUAGAAAAAUGAAUAGAGCAUACUAACUACCUCAAGUGUUUUUUAAGUUAACAACCAAUUUCAGUGUGUUUUUACGGUUUGUCUUUUAUUAUUACCAUUUUCCCACUUAGCGCAAAUCUUGCUGGUCGUAGCUAUCUCCGGUGUCGAUUUGACGCCGGAUGUAAAAAAAAAACAAUAAACAAACUGUUACAUUUUAUUAGCGCAAGAUAAGUUAAAGCACCAAUUACAUCGUGCUGACCAGCCGU